rnacentral:rRNA from 1 species
GACGAACGCUGGCGGCGUGCCUAACACAUGCAAGUCGAACGGAGUGAUUUGAAAGCUUGCUUUUGAAUCACUUAGUGGCGGACGGGUGAGUAACGCGUGAGUAACCUGCCUUUCAGAGGGGGAUAACAUCCUGAAAAGGAUGCUAAUACCGCAUGACAUAUCGAGGCCGCAUGGUCUUGGUAUCAAAGGAGCAAUCCGCUGAGAGAUGGACUCGCGUCCGAUUAGCCAGUUGGCGGGGUAACGGCCCACCAAAGCGACGAUCGGUAGCCGGACUGAGAGGUUGAACGGCCACAUUGGGACUGAGACACGGCCCAGACUCCUACGGGAGGCUG